UGAUCAAUGAAACUGUGUUGGAAACAAAGCAAAUCAAAUGAAUUUACUGUCUUCUCUUUCACCUUUUCUGUAGUUAAAAAUGCUUUUGGAAUACUUGCAGUGCAGUAGCUUUCAGAAGCGAUGACAAAGUAUGGCAGUGAACAAAAUAUGAAUAGAAAGAAAAAUGAUUUAGAUAUUUUAUUACUGAUGCAGAUAUAGGGAAACAGCUUAUCUUUGUCUUUUCUACUUUGUUGACAGAGACAACAAGGACAGGAUUCUUUACCUAAUGGCCCUAGAACCAUUUUGGGCUUGAUUCAAAAUAAGUUAUUCGUAAGAAAAAUGUCUUUGUGAUCUUUAACCAUAAUAUCAAAAAUUAACAUUAUUUUUCAAAUAAGAAGUCUAUGAAGACACAGACAGGGCAAAAAUAUUAAAUGGACCAGAGAAGUCAGAGCAAGCACCAUCCAACCUGCAGUGUUUUUUGACUACCUCUAAACAGGCCUUGUAAUUUUACAGCUGACAUGAAAUUACGAUCUCCGUGCUGUGGCAAAGGAUAAGAAAGACGAGGGAGGAGUUUUAUGUUGGACAGCAUCUUGAGAAAGUGAACAUAUGAAGAUCAACAGCCUUAUGCCUUUACUAGAUGCUCAGAAGAUAUUCUCAGUCUUCUCAAGAGCAACAGCAUAUGGUAUAAAAGAGCAGUUCCAGAAUGGCUCGAGAGUCACUGAAACCAAGCGAGGUAUCAGUAUCCUAAGACCUGCAACAUAUUUAAACAGAAGUUAACAUAACUGUUCACUGAAUGGAGCUACCUGAAAAUUCACAACUGCCAGAGAACUUCGUGCUGUCAGAGGAAAAGGACAGACAUUUCAACAGUCCAUUUCUGGCUCUUGGUCUCACCUUUGGGUAAGUGAGUAUUUUAGUGCGUCAUGGUACAGAAGACACAUGGGACAGAAGACAAGACAGAAGACAAAUAAUCCUGUUCAACCUACAAAAGGUAUGAUGGUUUUGAAAUACAGAGGUCUAGACCCACUUUCACAUUUCUUAACAGUGUUGAGAUGAUAAGAUGAUGUGUUACAACAUUACGUCAUUAAGAUGAGGUGCUACUGAUAAUUAAGUUCUUUUGAUAGCAAAAUAAUUCUGCAAUGAAGAUAAUUUCUGUCAUGCAGGCUCUCACAGUAGCAUUCAAAAAGAAAAGGAGGAUGUUUUGAACUUCUACUGGAAGACUGACAUCACACUUAAAGAUGAUAUGAGGAGUGAUAUCGGGUCUGUACAUUGCUAACACGUUAUUUAUACAUGCUAUAUGUUAACUUGCCAAACUGGAGAGUUUGUCACGUGGAGAACCAGGCAGUGCAGAAUGGGUUGACACAGUCUCAGAAGAUACAGGUCAUGAGAGCAACAAUUUGUUUUGACAGCAGUUGUGUUUCUACUACCAGAAAUGCUCUCUG
rnacentral:lncRNA from 1 species